GAGUUUGAUCCUGGCUCAGGAUGAACGCUAGCGGCAGGCUUAACACAUGCAAGUCGAGGGGUAUAAGGGAGCUUGGCUCCUUUAGAGACCGGCAAACGGGUGCGGAACACGUACGCAAUCUGCCCUUAUCUCGGGGAUAGCCCAUAGAAAUGUGGAUUAAUACCCGAUAGUAUGAGAGAGUGGCAUCACUUUUUUAUUAAAGAUUUAUUGGAUAAGGAUGAGCGUGCGUAAGAUUAGCUGGUUGGUAGGGUAACGGCCUACCAAGGCAACGAUCUUUAGCUGAUGUGAGAGCAUGAUCAGCCACACGGGCACUGAGACACGGGCCCGACUCCUACGGGAGGCAGCAGUGAGGAAUAGUUGGUCAAUGGACGGAAGUCUGAACCAGCCAUGCCGCGUGAAGGAUGAAGGCGUUCUGCGUUGUAAACUUCUUUUACCUGGGAAGAAACCACAGUAUUUCUAUUUGUGUUGACGGUACCAGAGGAAUAAGCACCGGCUAA
rnacentral:rRNA from 1 species